rnacentral:tRNA from 1 species
AGAAAUGUGGCUUAGUGGUAGAGUACUUGCCUGGCAUGCAUGAAGCCCUGGGUUCAAUUCCUCAGUACCA